rnacentral:rRNA from 1 species
GGCGAACGCUAGCGGCGUGCUUAACACAUGCAAGUCGAACGGAAAGGCCCUGCUUUUGUGGGGUGCUCGAGUGGCGAACGGGUGAGUAACACGUGAGUAACCUGCCCUUGACUUUGGGAUAACUUCAGGAAACUGGGGCUAAUACCGGAUAGGAGCUCCUGCUGCAUGGUGGGGGUUGGAAAGUUUCGGCGGUUGGGGAUGGACUCGCGGCUUAUCAGCUUGUUGGUGGGGUAGUGGCUUACCAAGGCUUUGACGGGUAGCCGGCCUGAGAGGGUGACCGGCCACAUUGGGACUGAGAUACGGCCCAGACUCCUACGGGAGGCAGCAGUGGGGAAUAUUGCACAAUGGGCGGAAGCCUGAUGCAGCAACGCCGCGUGCGGGAUGACGGCCUUCGGGUUGUAAACCGCUUUCGCCUGUGACGAAGCGUGAGUGACGGUAAUGGGUAAAGAAGCACCGGCUAACUACGUG